CAGCUGGACAGAUGAACAGUGGGUGUCCACUACGGGGUUACUGCCUGCUAGGCAGCAGCACACUUGUUUUUCUACCAUCAUGGCUGAGCUAAUAACAAUCUCUAAGUAGCACCUGCCGUCAUCUUCAUCAUCAGAGAUUGAACUCGGGUCCUUGCACUUGCGAAACAGGCGCAGCAGGAGGCAAAACCACUGAGCUAAAUCCCUGGCCCUAAUCUUGCUCUUGAACAUCACAGUAUCGUGAGACAUUGAAGCCUCAACUUGUGACUGGAGUACCAGGGAUCGAACUCGGGACCUUGCGCUUGUGAGGCAGGCACCGGAACCACUGAGCUAAAUCCCCGGCCUAA
rnacentral:lncRNA from 1 species